AAUUAACUAGUAUACAAGUACCCCUGACUUCCAAUCAGGUAGUCUGAUUUUUCAGGUUAAUUA
rnacentral:tRNA from 1 species